CACGUGACCGAUGAGGACUGACGGAUACUCUGCGAUAGGUUUUCAUCUGAUUCUUUUCAGAAAAGGAGCAAAAUAAAUUCUGACAACAGGGGGAAGUUAGAAGUGAACCACGUAGCUGGUUCAAAGUUAUUUGUACGACUUCGUCACGAUAUGCGAGAUUCCGUCACUAACCAGGAGCCCAGACCAGUAGACUUCUACAGAGGGACUCACUGUUGGCAGGCGACGUGAUCUUGGG